rnacentral:lncRNA from 1 species
CCGGCUUCGAUGCGUGGGGGGAUUUGGCCCCGAGCGUUCCGGGUCGCGUUCUAGGGUUUCGGAGCUAAAUCUAGCUGGGAUCCCCCGCUGCUCGUGUAGGUGCGCCUGUUGACUUUUUGUUCCGCGGAUUUCCAGCUCGGGUUGUUGUAUCUUAAGCUCAGUUAGGGUUCGUAGUAGUUCCUUGGCCGAUUCGUUUAGCUAGGGUUUGUGGUUCACGAUGUAUUUAGCUCGCGGCGUUUCCAGGUUAGGGCUUGUAGUUCCUUGGCCUGUGGUUUCUAGUACUGUUGCGAUUCGUUUAGCUAGGGUUUGCAAUUCACGGCCUCUUUAGCUAGCAAUGGAUGUACGGUUUUGAUGUGACCCUGGCAGGAUUUGUGUUACCGAGUCUAUGUGCAGUAAGUUUUAGGGUUCAAAAGCCCUAUUGGCAGAGGUUUAGGGUUCCGAGUUUUACUGUAGCUACAUGUUUAGGUUAUAUUGCAUUCUUGUGGUACAGGGUGAAGAGCGAACGUUCAGCAUUACUGAAGCUGUAUGAAUUGUGAUGUUUGAGCUUUUGAUUCACAGUACCUUUGUUUGAACGAGCUAACAGUGAUUCACCAUGUUUCUGGUCUAACGUAUGAAAUAUCUUCCCAGACACAUGCGAGUGAAUGAGUCUUGCUCAAGUCUCCUGGAAGCAGCCAGGCAGUCACUAGCAAAUAACACCUAUUUUUAACCUGCCAUUUCUGGGAUUUGAUAGUCAAAAAAAAUUCUACCUCCAGUACGGUUUUACUUGGACAGGGUUGUCCACAUCUUAUGCCACAUAAGAUGCCCUUAAUCCACGUUGGAUUCGGAUACUUGUAUACGUGUCCAAGUGCUAACCAGGCAGUUUUUGUCGCGUUGUGGUUCUGCUUGUUGAUUUGUUCGUAGUGCAGGUCUCAUGAGUUUAAUUUAUACCAUGUAUAGCUAGGUCUGCUUCACCAAAUUAAUGUUUGUGUGUAGUAAGGUUGGGGUCAGGGAUUGUGUUGUAUAGGUAUAGUAUGAUGCUAUUUAUUAAAGCGUCCCGAUGAUGAAAUCAUUUUAGAGUGAACCGUUUUCCAACUGAAAGAUUCUAUUAUAUGAUGAGUAUUUACUUUCGUCAAUUAAUUAGUGUGAACAGUUUUCCAACUGAAAGAUACUAUUAGAUGGUGAAUAUUACUUUCCUCAAUUAAUUAGGUUUUGUCCUCAUUCCUAAUAACGUGUUGUUACGUCUGUCUUGGAUCAUUAAAUCAUCUGAGGAUGGAAAAUUAAAUUCUAAAAGUUACUUUGUGGCAUCCAAGGUUGGCUGGCCAGUUCUUCAUUCUAAUCCAGGCUGCAGUGGUCUAGUGGCCUGUGAGAAAGGGCACGGCAUACUGACAAUUCUAUGAGGAUGUGGUUGGAGCCUUGGACGUAGAUGGUAGAUGAGAAAGUUUAUUGGAUAUCAGGGAGACCGUGUUACGAAAGUGGGGCAGGGUCCUCUGUUUGUGACUAACAGUCUCCGUAAAACCUACCCAUCUGUGAUGUUAUUUCCAAGUCAAAUCUAGUUCUGUGUUAUCCAGCUAAGUUUCUAUCUUUGUGAGUCAGCUAGCUGGUUUUCCCUAUUUGGUAAGUGCAGUGUGAUUAAAAUGAUGAUUGCAUCGUACUAUAUAUUUUGCCAUGGUUGCAGUAUUCUUGAAUUUAUGUUUGUUACUCUUACUGCUGUUACAUUCUCUUGAGAUCUAGCUUCUCAACCUAUCCUAUUGAUAUACUUACUGCCAUGUCUUUGCUAAAUAUUUAAUUGAAUAUUAUAUAGAGCUUGUCAAAGACUUCAGUAUUAUGUCCAUGGCUAAAUUAUUAUAUUCAAUAGUAUUGUGUAGCCAGUCUCGUGCAGUCUCGUAGCCGUGUCAAAGACUUCAGUCUUGGACGAACUUAUCAUGUGCAAUUUGUAGGCUUGGUAAAAUUCAUGGCGGAACUGUUUCUUUAAUAAUAGUGCGAUAGAAUGGUAAAACACACACAACAACAGUCAGCAUGAAAGAGUGCUACUGCUGUGUUGGCAUAAUCUAUUGUUGUUAUCUUGUUGUUUUGUCUCCACGCAUAUUCAAAGCAGAUCAGCAUGGCUGUUGAUGUCAUUUUGUAGCAUGUGUUGGUUAUGAAUAAGCAUGUUUUCGUGGCUUGUUUAAUUGCAUUUAUUUACUUUGUUGAUUCUCAAAUUAUGGUGGCAGCCAGUUAAACAAAUACUGGAGAAUGUUUGAGGGAUGAUACCUCUCUGGGACCCAGACACUGAAGACCUGGUUGGACUAUCUUAGUAUUAAUGGAAAUCCAUGUUAUAGCACAUAUUGUAUUACUGUCGUAGUGAAGUAUUUACAUGGUAGUUGGCUACUAGACCAUGUUUUUAGUAUAGUUCUCUUCUUGUGUGUAUGAACAUUAUUUUUUCCUGGUGAUCAUCUUGGAAAGUGAAAUGAUCUAUGGAGUUGCAGUUUCAAUUGAAUAGUAGCUUGUGCACUUAUUGGGCUGCAUGGAGAUUGAUCCUGCAGGCUGGGAUGUACUUUUUGGGUGUGCUCUUUUAAAGCCACUGGCUUGGUAUUUUUUGGAAGUCCCGCAAAUUCUUCGAGGAUUGCGCAGAAAUAAUCAUAACAUGUUUAAGGAAACAUUGCUGCUAAAAAAAUCAUGUGUAUUGAAUCUUAUUUCACAGGCUACUCCUUGGGGAUAUUCCAAUUCUAGGCAGAACUAGUUAGGGUUGACAUAUGGUGUAA